rnacentral:rRNA from 1 species
GACGAACGCUGGCGGCGUGCUUAACACAUGCAAGUCGAGCGGUAAGGCCCUUUCGGGGGUACGACGAGCGGCGAACGGGUGAGUAACACGUGGGUGACCUGCCCUCAGCUCUGGGAUAAGCCCGGGAAACUGGGUCUAAUACCGGAUAUGACUCCAUGACGCAUGUUGUGGGGUGGAAAGCCUUGUGCGGCUGAGGAUGGGCCCGCGGCCUAUCAGCUUGUUGGUGGGGUGAUGGCCUACCAAGGCGACGACGGGUAGCCGGCCUGAGAGGGCGACCGGCCACACUGGGACUGAGAUACGGCCCAGACUCCUACGGGAGGCAGCAGUGGGGAAUCUUGCGCAAUGGGCGAAAGCCUGACGCAGCGACGCCGCGUGAGGGAUGACGGCCUGG